rnacentral:rRNA from 1 species
CCUACGGGUGGCAGCAGUGGGGGAUAUUGCACAAUGGGGGAAACCCUGAUGCAGCGACGCCGCGUGUGGGAAGACGGUCCUCUGGAUUGUAAACCACUGUCCCCAGGGACGAAGAUGACGGUACCUGGGGAGGAAGCUCCGGCUAACUACGUGCCAGCAGCCGCGGUAAUACGUAGGGAGCGAGCGUUGUCCGGAAUUACUGGGGGAAAAGGGAGCGUAGGCGGGACUGCAAGUUGGGUGUCAAAUCUACCGGCUCAACCGGUAGCCGCACUCAAAACUGCAGUUCUUGAGUGAAGUAGAGGCAGGCGGAAUUCCUAGUGUAGCGGUGAAAUGCGUAGAUAUUAGGAGGAACACCAGUGGCGAAGACGGCCUGCUGGGCUUUUACUGACGCUGAGGCUCGAAAGUGUGGGGAGCAAACAGGAUUAGAUACCCGAGUAGUC